rnacentral:rRNA from 1 species
AGAGUUUGAUCCUGGCUCAGGAUGAACGCUGGCGGCGUGCCUAACACAUGCAAGUCGAGCGAAGCACUUUAAUUCGAUUCUUCGGAUGAAGAUUUUUGUGACUGAGCGGCGGACGGGUGAGUAACGCGUGGGCAACCUGCCUUACACAGGGGGAUAACAGUUAGAAAUGACUGCUAAUACCGCAUAAGACCGCAGUACCGCAUGGUACAGCGGUAAAAACUCCGGUGGUGUAAGAUGGGCCCGCGUCUGAUUAGGUAGUUGGCGGGGUAACGGCCCACCAAGCCGACGAUCAGUAGCCGACCUGAGAGGGUGACCGGCCACAUUGGGACUGAGACACGGCCCAGACUCCUACGGGAGGCAGCAGUGGGGAAUAUUGCACAAUGGGGGAAACCCUGAUGCAGCGACGCCGCGUGAGCGAUGAAGUAUUUCGGUAUGUAAAGCUCUAUCAGCAGGGAAGAAAAUGACGGUACCUGACUAAGAAGCCCCGGCUAACUACGUGCCAGCAGCCGCGGUAAUACGUAGAGAGCAAGCGUUAUCCGGAUUUACUGGGUGUAAAGGGAGCGUAGACGGCUGUGCAAGCCAGAUGUGAAAGCCCGGGGCUCAACCCCGGGACUGCUCUGGGAACUGUGCGGCUGGAGUGCGGGAGGGGCAGGCGGAAUUCCUGGUGUAGCGGUGAAAUGCGUAGAUAUCAGGAGGAACACCGGCGGCGAAGGCGGCCUGCUGGACCGCGACUGACGUUGAGGCUCGAAAGCGUGGGGAGCAAACAGGAUUAGAUACCCUGGUAGUCCACGCCGUAAACGAUGACUAAUGAGGUGUCGGGGGACGACAGUGCCCCGGGUGCAGGCGCAAACGCAAUAAGUAGUCCACCUGGGGAGUACGUCCGCAAGGAUGAAACUCAAAGGAAUUGACGGGGGCCCGCACAAGCGGUGGAGCAUGUGGUUUAAUUCGAAGCGACGCGAAGAACCUUACCUGGCCUUGACAUCCCGGCGACGCAGGGGCAAUGCCCUGUUCCCUUCGGGGCGCCGGAGACAGGUGGUGCAUGGUUGUCGUCAGCUCGUGUCGUGAGAUGUUGGGUCAAGUCCCGCAACGAGCGCAACCCUUGCCCUUAGUAGCCAGCACGUAGAGGUGGGCACUCUAGGGGGACUGCCGGGGACAACCCGGAGGAAGGCGGGGACGACGUCAAAUCAUCAUGCCCCUUAUGGCCAGGGCUACACACGUGCUACAAUGGCGCGCACAGAGGGAGGCGAGGCGGCGACGCCGAGCGAAGCCCGGAAAGCGCGCCCCAGUUCGGAUUGCAGCCUGCAACUCGGCUGCAUGAAGCCGGAAUCGCUAGUAAUCGCGGAUCAGAACGCCGCGGUGAAUACGUUCCCGGGUCUUGCACACACCGCCCGUCA